rnacentral:rRNA from 1 species
CAGCAGCAGCCGCGGUAAUACCGAGGGUGCGAGCGUUAAUCGGAUUUACUGGGCGUAAAGCGUGCGUAGGCGGCUUCUUAAGUCGGAUGUGAAAUCCCUGAGCUUAACUUAGGAAUUGCAUUCGAUACUGGGAAGCUAGAGUAUGGGAGAGGAUGGUAGAAUUCCAGGUGUAGCGGUGAAAUGCGUAGAGAUCUGGAGGAAUACCGAUGGCGAAGGCAGCCAUCUGGCCUAAUACUGACGCUGAGGUACGAAAGCAUGGGGAGCAAACAGGAUUAGAUACCCGUGUAGUCCCUGUCUCUUAUAC